UACGAAGGGGGGCUAGCGUUGUUCGGAAUUACUGGGCGUAAAGCGCGCGCAGGCGGUUUUCCAAGUCAGUGGUGAAAGCCCGGAGCUCAACUCCGGAACUGCCAUUGAAACUGUUGAACUUGAGGACGAGAGAGGUGAGUGGAAUUCCCAGUGUAGAGGUGAAAUUCGUAGAUAUUGGGAAGAACACCAGUGGCGAAGGCGGCUCACUGGCUCGUAUCUGACGCUCAGGCGCGAUAGCGUGGGGAUCAAACAGG
rnacentral:rRNA from 1 species